CUAAAUUAAGUAUAAAUACAUCAUUUUUUCAUGAUGAAGAGGUAUUUUUAU
rnacentral:tRNA from 1 species